CGUAAAAAAAGUCAAACUUGUCCAACUUUAACUGUCUGUUUUAUAUGAAAUUUUUUUAUAAUUUGUAUUUUUAUUGUUGUUAGAUGAUAAAACAUGAUUAAUAUUUUAUACGUGACUUGUCUUUUUAAUUUUUUUCAUAAUUUUUUUUAAAUAAGAUAGACGGUUAAAUGUUGGACACGGAAACCAAUGUUUGUCUUUUUC
rfam:Oryza sativa Japonica Group DNA, chromosome 1, cultivar: Nipponbare, complete sequence.